rnacentral:rRNA from 1 species
AACGAACGCUGGCGGCAGGCCUAACACAUGCAAGUCGAGCGCGCCUUCGGGUGAGCGGCGGACGGGUGAGUAACGCGUGGGAAUAUGCCCUUCUCUACGGAAUAGUCCUGGGAAACUGGGGGUAAUACCGUAUACGCCCUUUGGGGGAAAGAUUUAUCGGGGAAGGAUUAGCCCGCGUUGGAUUAGGUAGUUGGUGGGGUAAUGGCCUACCAAGCCGACGAUCCAUAGCUGGUUUGAGAGGACGAUCAGCCACACUGGGACUGAGACACGGCCCAGACUCCUACGGGAGGCAGCAGUGGGGAAUCUUAGACAAUGGGGGCAACCCUGAUCUAGCCAUGCCGCGUGAGUGAUGAAGGCCUUAGGGUUGUAAAGCUCUUUCAGCUGGGAAGAUAAUGACGGUACCAGCAGAAGAAGCCCCGGCUAACUCCGUG